rnacentral:rRNA from 1 species
ACGAACGCUGGCGGCGUGCUUAACACAUGCAAGUCGAACGCUGAAGCCCAGCUUGCUGGGUGGAUGAGUGGCGAACGGGUGAGUAACACGUGAGUAACCUGCCCCCUUCUUUGGGAUAACGCCCGGAAACGGGUGCUAAUACUGGAUAUUCACUGGCCUUCGCAUGGGGGUUGGUGGAAAGGUUUUUUCUGGUGGGGGAUGGGCUCGCGGCCUAUCAGCUUGUUGGUGGGGUGAUGGCCUACCAAGGCUUUGACGGGUAGCCGGCCUGAGAGGGUGACCGGUCACAUUGGGACUGAGAUACGGCCCAGACUCCUACGGGAGGCAGCAGUGGGGAAUAUUGCACAAUGGGCGAAAGCCUGAUGCAGCGACGCCGCGUGAGGGAUGACGGCCUUCGGGUUGUAAACCUCUUUCGCUCAUGGUCAAGCCGCAGCUUUGGGUUGUGGUGAGGGUAGUGGGUAAAGAAGCGCCGGCUAACUACGUGCCAGCAGCCGCG